UCACCUGUCCCCUGACUCAGGUGGAGAUGGUGAACCCAAUGAAGAACAAGAAGUGUAACCACCACUACGACCGGGACGCCAUUAUGGGGAUGAUCAAGGCCAGGCAAAACCAGAAGAAGAAGUUACGCUGUCCGGUGGUUGGCUGUGGCAACACGGACGUGAAGCAGGGAGACCUGAUCCUAGAUCAGAUUAUGAAGAGACAGAUCCAGAAGAGGUAGACUACCGAGGCAUGAUUCUGGUCCAGAAGAGGUAGACUACCGAGACACUAUUCUGGGGUACGCCAACUCAUCAAACCUGACAAUAAUAAUUAGACUUUUAUUUAAGUGAGGAAAAAACAUGACAUUUUGUUGUUGUUGUGACCAAAUGUUACCUUGCUGCUGUGUCUGAUCGUAAUUGUUCGUCACAGAAUUGCACUCUUCUGAAGUUUUAUAUAACAAAACCUCUCUUUAUUUAUACAUAAGGGCUUCAUAUUUUUUAGUCAGUUCAAUAAAGGUUUAUUUUGG